CUUUUUUAUCAUAGAGGUUUUGGUAACUAAAAACAAGGGGAGAAGUAAAAGCAAGAGCUAAGAUCAGAAUAAUAGAAGUAGAAGCAAGAGUAAAUAAAAGUCAAGGUAUAAAAACCUUGAACAUCAUCAUUGUGGUAAAAUAGGGCACAUCAAGAAAUAUUGUUUCAAGUGGAAAAAGAAGAACAAAGCUAACAAAGGCAAGCAAGAAAAGAAGGGUAAUUAUGAUAAUAAUGAUUGUGUCAACAAGGGUAAUGAUGAUAAUAAUGAUCGUGUCAACACCAUUAAUUCGGAUGAUUUGAUUGUUGUUUAUCAUGAAAACAUGGUUAAUGUUGCCAUCAAUGAAGUCAGUUGGGUAUUUGACAAUGGUGCUUCCUUUCAUGUUACAUCAAGGAAGGAAUUCUUUACAUCUUAUACUCCAAGAGAUUUUGGGGUCUUAAAGAUGGGUAAUGAUGUAAUGUCAAAG
rnacentral:misc_RNA from 1 species